UACGUAGGGGGCAAGCGUUGUCCGGAAUCAUUGGGCGUAAAGCGCGUGUAGGCGGCUUCGUAAGUCCGUUGUGAAAGUCCAGGGCUCAACCCUGGAAUGCCGAUGGAUACUGCGGAGCUAGAGUCCGGAAGAGGCGAGUGGAAUUCCUGGUGUAGCGGUGAAAUGCGCAGAUAUCAGGGGGAACACCAAUGGCGAAGGCAGCUCGCUGGGACGGUACUGACGCUGAGACGCGAAAGCGUGGGGAGCAAACAGG
rnacentral:rRNA from 1 species